CAAGGGUGACAGCCCAAGGGCAGCCCGCUGGAGCCGGGGCGCUUGUUCGAGGGUGAUCGGGUUACCAAAGCUGAGGGUCUGCUUCGCGGGCCUGUAGGUCCUGCAUUUAUGUAUUUGUGUUUUUUUCCCGGAGCUCCCCAGGUAUGCGCACGCUUUGCACGCCGCCUCUGGAGGCUAGGUAGUGCCUUGUGCUCCUGAAGCCAGUGAAGGAGAAACAGCAGUCUUGAGGUAGAAUUAUUGAAGAUCUCAAAAUGCAGCAUGCCAGUCACUUCAGACACCAUUUCCUUGGACCCCAGUUCAAGAGGGUGGGUUGUAACAGUACAUACUGGAGUGAUUGCUGAGAUUUCAGUAGCUAUUUGCAUGGCAAAACCAGACAACAACAACAAAUACAGUAAGGACAGAUUAGUUGUGUGCCUUUCAUUGCUUCUUCCACAAUGCUGCAUGGACUUCUAAAGUUUUUAUUCUCAAGUGAUGGCCAUUUCAACAAGAAUUGUGGCA